UGGGGCGUGGCCAAGUGGUAAGGCAGCGGGUUUUGGUCCCGUUACUCGGAGGUUCGAAUCCUUCCGU
rfam:Hordeum vulgare subsp. vulgare, WGS project CAJW01000000 data, contig: morex_contig_1358457